AAUGAACGCUGGCGGCAGGCCUAACACAUGCAAGUCGAGCGGAGAGGCGGACGGGUGAGUAAUGCCUAGGAAUCAGCCUGGUGGUGGAGGAUAACGUCGGGAAACGGGCGCUAAUAACGCAUCCUAUAAGAUGAGCAUAGGGCGGAUUCGCUGGUUGGUGGGGUAAAGGCUUACCAAGGUGACGAUCCGUAACUGGUCUGAGAGGAUGAUCAGUCAUACUGGAACUGAGACACGGUCCAGACUCCUACGGGAGGCAGCAGUGGGGAAUAUUGGACAAUGGGCGAAAGCCUGAUCCAGACAUGCCGCGUGUGUGAAGAAGGUCUUCGGAUUGUAAAGCACUUUAAGUUGGGAGGCGUUACCAACAGAAUAAGCACCGGCUAACUUCGUGCCAGCAGCCGCGGUAAUUC
rnacentral:rRNA from 1 species